rnacentral:rRNA from 1 species
CCUACGGGAGGCAGCAGUGAGGAAUAUUGGUCAAUGGACGAGAGUCUGAACCAACCAAGUAGCGUGAAGGAUGACUGCCCUAUGGGUUGUAAACUUCUUUUAUAUGGGAAUAAAACGUUCCACGUGUGGGAUUUUGUAUGUACCAUAUGAAUAAGGAUCGGCUAACUCCGUGCCAGCAGCCGCGGUAAUACGGAGGAUCCGAGCGUUAUCCGGAUUUAUUGGGUUUAAAGGGAGCGUAGGUGGAUUGUUAAGUCAGUUGUGAAAGUUUGCGGCUCAACCGUAAAAUUGCAGUUGAAACUGGCAGUCUUGAGUACAGUAGAGGUGGGCGGAAUUCGUGGUGUAGCGGUGAAAUGCUUAGAUAUCACGAAGAACUCCGAUUGCGAAGGCAGUUCACUGGACUGCAACUGACACUGAGGCUCGAAAGUGUGGGUAUCAAACAGGAUUAGAUACCCGAGUAGUC